rnacentral:lncRNA from 1 species
GGUUUUCUGCUCACCCCUAGUUUAAACUAGGGGUGCAAACGAGCCGAGCGGCUCGCAAGCUACUCAAGAUCGGCUCGAGAAAAAGCUCGAAACAAGCCGAGCUUGAGCCUCAAGACAAAGCUCGUUUGUUUAUCGAGCCCGAGCUCGAGCCUCACAUGUGAAGCUCGUUAGGCUCGUCGAGCCUUAUCGAGUCUUAGUGUAAAAGAUCCGAGUCGAGCCGAGUUAUUUAAACUUGUUUACAAGCCAACCUCGAACCUAAAAAUAAGCUUAUUUAGUAAACGAGCCCGAGCUUGCAAGCCUAAAAAGUCUAUUAUUUAUAUUAUUUUUAUUUAAUAUUCUAACUAAUAGAUAAUAAACGAGCCGAGCCCGAGCCGAGCUUGAGCUUGAUAAAAUACAAACGAGCCGAGCUCGAGCUUUGAAAACAAAGCUCGAAUCGAGCCGAGCUCGAGCUCGAGCCUGGCCGAGGCUCAGCUCGGCUCGUUUGCACCCCUAGUUUAAACUGUGAAUGGCUGGAAAGUAGAACAAAACCAAAUACAGUUUUCGAUCUAGAAUUAUAACAAAACAUAAUAGGAACAUACGAUGAUACCUAAUCAUUGCAUGCUACAUCCUCCAGAGUCUUGUCCUUUGCAAACAUUGCCAUAUGCUGACAAUUCACGAAGAUUAAUGUCACGCCCUCUCGUUUCUUCAUAAAAUCACAAGAGUGUUUUUGAUAUAAUGUACGAUUGAGAAACGAUAUUUGUUAACUUGUUGAUACUGUACCUGAAACUCUGAAGUAAGAGCUUUUCUGAAUAAGAGAGACAACAGUUGCGCAACGUUAUUCAUGUUUAAAAAUGUAUAAACAGUUGCGCAAAGAAACCGUCUUGGGCCUAUUAGUCUUAUAAGAGAGACAACAGUUGCGCAACGUUAUUCAUGUUUAAAAAUGUAUAAACUGAGGAUUAAAAAGACUCCAUUAAUUCAUCCAACAAAAAUUAUAAGAAGGAAAUUUAUAAAUGUGGAUUCACCAUGUAUUAUGCAAUCUUCAUAAUGCUAAAAGUAAGCAAACAAGAAGACCUUUACAUGAGUGUUGCGAUGUUAAGCUGAGCAAUUAUAUGGUUAAAUGAUUACAUAUGCCUUUAGAGAAUGAACAGUUUCGUCAUUAUACCGAUGCAGACUAUUAGAGCAUACACAUAGUCAGUUAUUUUGAUAGUUAGUGGUUAGAUUUUCUGUUAUGGUUAGCUCAUAUCAGUUAGGUUAACGGAUUGGGUUCGGGUCUGGUCGGUUGGUGGGUUGACCCGUUUAACACAUUUAUAUUGUAUUAUAUUUUUUACAAUAUAUUUUAUGUCAUAAACUAAAUGGAAUGUGUAUUGUAUGCCAUAAUUAUAACUUAAAAAGAGAAGUUAACAUAAAAUUUUAUAAUUUAAAUAUAAUUGUAUUAUAAACAUUUGUGUUUUUUAAGUAAAUUUUAAUAUAUUAGUUUCAGAAAAAAAAUAAAAAAAUCGGGUUGAGCGGGUCAUGAUUGGGUCAACCCACGAAACUUCAGGUCGUGUUCUGGUUCAUAUGUAUGAUACGAUUUUGGGUUUGGGUCGGGUUGAACUCGCAAACACAAGCUGUUUAGCAUCCCUCAGAUGAUUUUAACAACAAACUUUUGUAGUUGGAAGCAAAAACAUGAUAUGAAUGAACUUAUUAAGACUAUCAGUUUGUGUGAUCAGAUAGCGAUAACUCAAUCAAACCCCAAAGGGGCAAAGACAUAAAACACCUCCUGAAGCAAAUGAAAAAUGGUACAGGGAAACUUGAGAUAAGUAAGCAAAUAAAAAACUCAUUUUCAACCCAAUAAAAAAUGCAGGAAGUGAUUCAUUCAUUAUGUUGAUUAGUCCAUUAACAUAAUGUAAGUAAAAUUUGAACAUGCUUCUGUUAAAAAAAUCCACAUGUUUAUGGUCAAACAAUUUAGAUUAGGUCAUCAAAAAUUACAAAAUCAGCCGACUUUCUUCAGUUAACAACUUAUGAUUUGACUCUCGGAUUUGUAGAAAAAAUGAUUAUAAUAUUCGUAACUCGUAAGAAAAUGAAAGCGAAGACUGAUAUGAAUUUCGAUGUAAUAAAAUUGAAGUGUUUUUGCAAAAGUAAAUUACCUUAGUGUGGAGUAGGAGUAGUCACGAGAGAGACAACCACAACAAUGGUGUUGCUGAGCGGAUAUCCAUUGAUUUUCUCUGCUUCAAAGUGUCUGUUUGAUUCGUCUUGUUUGCGUGGUAGUUUCGUGCCCUAGUCGUUGUUUUUGACUU